rnacentral:lncRNA from 1 species
AGAGUGACAACCCAAAAUAGAAAAUAUGUCAACUAUGUGUGUGUAUUCUUGUAUUGCAAGGGAAAGGAAAAAAAAAAAAAAAAGUGAGUUAGCAGAGAAGUCCCAUUUUUAGGAGUCAGUAAGGCGUAGGAACAACUCUCCAUUUAAUUCUACAAGACACACCAACAAUGAUUAUCCUUGUUUUUACACCCAAGCAAUAUGCCUAUUCAUUGGAAACUUGCGUCUUACAAACACCAUAGAGUAUAAAAUAGUGUGGAUAAUCCAAGUAGUUGUGACUUAUUGGAGGACUGCAUCUGAAUAAGAGUAACGCGUGGUUUUAUUAGCAGUGGGAAGGAAUGGGCCAGUGCCCUUGAUAAGGGAGAAUCAAAUUCUCCAUGAUAGCAUUCCUUUUCUGUUAGCAUAAUAUCCG